rnacentral:snoRNA from 1 species
AUUAUUGAUGAUGGUGAGAUGGCAUCUCAUAUACUUAAUGGCCUUGAUUUUGAGUAUAAUCCAUUUGUUUCCUCAAUGCUUGGUCAUGCGAAUCCUUUCUCCCUUCGAGCUAUAUUCUCAUCUGAUAUCUUAUGAGU